rnacentral:rRNA from 1 species
AGCGAACGCUGGCGGCAGGCCUAACACACGCAAGUCGAGCGCCGUAGCAAUACGGAGCGGCAGACGGGAGAGUAACACGUGGGAACAUACCCUUUGGUUCGGAACAACCCAGGGAAACUUGGGCUAAUACCAGAUAAGCCCUCACGGGGAACGAUUCAUCGCCGAAGGAUCGGCCCGCGUCUGAUUAGCUAGUUGGUGGGGUAAUGGCCCACCAAGUCGACGAGCAGUAGCUGGUCUGAGAGGAUGAUCAGCCUCACUGGGACUGAGACACGGCCCAGACUCCUACGGGAGGCAGCAGUAGGGAAUAUUGGACAAUGGGCGCAAGCCUGAUCCAGCCAUGCCGCGUGGGUGAUGAAGGCCCUAGGGUUGUAAAGCCCUUUCGGCGGGGAAGAUAAUGACGGUAUCCGCAGAAGAAGCCCCGGCUAACUUCGUGCCAGCCGCCGCAGUAAGAC